rnacentral:SRP_RNA from 1 species
GAGAAGUGUGGGGGUACAUGCCUGUAAUCCCUACUGCAAGAGAGUCAGGGCUUAGGAUAGCUUCAGUUCUAGAAUUAUAAGGUGCAGUGGGCUAAGCCAAUCCAGUGUCCACACCGAGUUCAGCAUUAAUGUGGUGAGCCCCUGGGAGUUGGGGAUCAUCAUAUUGUCUAAGGAGGAGUGAACUGGCACAGGUAAGAAAUAAAACAGGUCAAAGGUCCUGUGCCCGUCAGUAGAGGAAUCUAGUCCUUGAAAGGGUACUGUACCUUUAGCCUGGGAAAAUUAGGAAGAUCCAGUUCUAU